GACAGAGGGUGCAAACGUUGUUCGGAAUUACUGGGCGUAAAGCGUGUGUAGGCGGCUAGGUAAGUCGGAUGUGAAAGCCCCGGGCUCAACCUGGGAAUGGCAUUUGGGACUGCAAGGCUGGAGUGCGGCAGAGGAGACUGGAAUUCCUGGUGUAGCAGUGAAAUGCGUAGAUAUCAGGAGGAACACCGAUGGCGAAGGCAGGUCUCUGGGCUGACACUGACGCUCAUGCACGAAAGCGUGGGGAGCAAACAGG
rnacentral:rRNA from 1 species